AUUGAACGCUGGCGGCAGGCCUAACACAUGCAAGUCGGGCGGAUGAAGGGAGCUUGCUCCUGGAUUCAGCGGCGGACGGGUGAGUAAUGCCUAGGAAUCUGCCUGGUAGUGGGGGAUAACGUCCGGAAACGGGCGCUAAUACCGCAUACGUCCUGAGGGAGAAAGUGGGGGAUCUUCGGACCUCACGCUAUCAGAUGAGCCUAGGUCGGAUUAGCUAGUUGGUGGGGUAAAGGCCUACCAAGGCGACGAUCCGUAACUGGUCUGAGAGGAUGAUCAGUCACACUGGAACUGAGACACGGUCCAGACUCCUACGGGAGGCAGCAGCGGGGAAUAUUGGACAAUGGGCGAAAGCCUGAUCCAGCCAUGCCGCGUGUGUGAAGAAGGUCUUCGGAUUGUAAAGCACUUUAAGUUGGGAGGAAGGGCAGUAAGUUAAUACCUUGCUGUUUUGACGUUACCAACAGAAUAAGCACCGGCUAACUUCGUG
rnacentral:rRNA from 1 species